rnacentral:rRNA from 1 species
GGUGAACGCUGGCGGCGUGCUUAAGACAUGCAAGUCGAACGGCAGUCUGCGGACUGUAGUGGCGCACGGGUGAGUAACGCGUAACUGACCUACCCCAAAGUCGCGGAUAACGAUUCGAAAGAAUCGCUAAUACGUGAUGUGCUGUCAGAUUGUGUUCUGCCAGUAAGGUUUGAUUGCUUUGGGAUGGGGUUGCGUUCCAUCAGCUAGUUGGUGGGGUAAAGGCCCACCAAGGCGACGACGGAUAGCCGGCCUGAGAGGGUGGCCGGCCACAGGGGCACUGAGACACGGGUCCCACUCCUACGGGAGGCAGCAGUUAGGAAUCUUCCACAAUGGGCGAAAGCCUGAUGGAGCGACGCCGCGUGAGGGAUGAAGGUCUUCGGAUCGUAAACCUCUGAAUCAGGGACGAAAGACACUUCGGUGGGAUGACGGUACCUGAGUAAUAGCACCGGCUAACUCCGUGCCAGCAGCCGCGGUAAAAC